rnacentral:rRNA from 1 species
GAUGAACGCUAGCGGCAGGCUUAACACAUGCAAGUCGAGGGGUAUAGUUCUUCGGAACUAGAGACCGGCGCACGGGUGCGUAACGCGUAUGCAAUCUACCUUUUACAGAGGGAUAGCCCAGAGAGAUUUGGAUUAAUACCUCAUAGCAUUGCAGGAUGGCAUCAUUCAGCAAUUAAAGUCACAUCGGUAAAAGAUGAGCAUGCGUCCCAUUAGCUAGUUGGUAAGGUAACGGCUUACCAAGGCUACGAUGGGUAGGGGUCCUGAGAGGGAGAUCCCCCACACUGUUACUGAGACACGGACCAGACUCCUACGGGAGGCAGCAGUGAGGAAUAUUGGACAAUGGGCGCAAGCCUGAUCCAGCCAUGCCGCGUGCAGGAUGACGGUCCUAUGGAUUGUAAACUGCUUUUAUACGAGAAGAAACACUGCUUCGUGAAGCAGCUUGACGGUAUCGUAAGAAUAGGGAUCGGCUAACUCCGUGCCAGCAGCCGCGGUAACAC